AAGUGGCUUCUGCUGACUAUCAUCACAAAGCCCUGUGUAGGUCUACUGAACACUCACUCUUGUCUGGUAUCUGUAUAAACGCUUCUGUUUAGUCCUUUCAUUGUAUAAUUGAUGUUCUUUAAAAAUAUCAAUGUAAAACAGGACUUAUGUUUCAGUUUGUUUCCUGUUCUGUUGUAGACAGAAAAUAAUGGAGUGCCCUGCUCCUUUCCUCAUUUCAAAGUUGCUACUGGUGUAUGUAGUAAUUAGACAAAGAAGAAAUUCAGUAGACCAUUUAUUGCCUAGUUGGCAACAUUGUUUGAAUGCUGCUGGUCCUAUCCUUUUGACACUACACAGUUUUCUAAUAUGUGUUAAUGCUAUGUAAUAAGAUGCCCUGGUUCCUAGUGCCAAAGGUUCAGCUUACUGUAUAUACCUGGAAACUCAUGCAUUUGCUCAAAUU
rnacentral:lncRNA from 1 species